rnacentral:rRNA from 1 species
GACGGAGGAUGCAAGUGUUAUCCGGAAUCACUGGGCGUAAAGCGUCUGUAGGUGGCUUAGUAAGUCUAUUGUUAAAGCUUAAGGCUUAACCUUAAAACAGCAACGGAAACUACUAGGCUUGAGUAUGGUAGAGGUAAAAGGAAUUUCCAGUGGAGCGGUGAAAUGCGUAGAUAUUGGAAAGAACACCGAUGGCGAAGGCAUUUUACUGGGCUAUAACUGACACUCAGAGACGAAAGCUAGGGUAGCAAAUGGG